rnacentral:rRNA from 1 species
AUGCAACUCGUCACCUGCGGCCGGACGGCGGUCAACAUCAACGGCGAGAUCGGGCCCUACUUCCCCACCUUAUGUGGGGUUCGCCAGGGUGACCCGUUCUCCCCGUUCCUCUUUAACAUGGUUGCCGAUGCCCGUGCAGUCAUCUUGGAUAAGGCCAAAGCCUGCGGCCAUAUCCGGGGCGUCGUCCCCCACCUUGUGGACAGAGGAGGGGUCUCCCUCCUCCAAUAUGCGGACGACACCAUUGUCAUGGUGGAGGGCUCCGCGUCCGACAUCGCCAACCUGAAGUUCCUCCUCCUGUGUUUCCAACAGAUGUCGGGACUCACCAUCAACUUCGACAAGAGCAAAGUGAUGGUCCUCGGCUACCUCCCGGACGAAGCUUUGUCCAUUGCGUACCGGCUUAACUACCGCCUGGGCACCUUCCCCACUACCUACUUGGGGGUGCCCAUUAGUGACUCCAGACUCACCGUCGCGGAUCUUCGCCCGACGGUGACUAGGAUGCAGCACAGGGUUGAACCCUAG